UCCGACCGAACAAAUCACGAAUGUAUAACAAUGUAUUUAAUUAAUUAAUAUCCUCCUCGUGGUUUCGAGUUGAAAAAGCAUCAAUCAAUAUCAUCAAUCAAUCAUGAUCCUCCUCCUUUAGAUCGCUCUCUGAACAAUUAAGAAGAGACGAUGAUGGCGGUGGUUUUGGGGUUAUUAGAUUUCUUUGUUGCCGGAGCUUCUCUUAUCUUUUGUUUGUUCCUUUUUGGUUUCAUUGCUUCUCUUCUAUCUGCUGCCGCUUUCUUCAACAACGCCAAGGACGUUUCCUAAUUCAACUAAUCUUUCUCUAUCUCUCCAACUAUUUGUUGCAAUUGCAGUUGGGUCUUCUGUGGAUGUCUGGAAGUUUUCUGUAUGAAAUCAAAUGCUUCAUUGAAGCUUAUGAAUGACGGAAUGAGUACAAAUGUUGUUUCAGAAUCAUUCUGGCAUUUGGAAGCAGCUUAUCCGCAUAAUUUCUUAUCUUGGAGUGGAUAAUCUUUCUUUACCAUCCUGAUAAAGCUAAUACUGCUUAAGGUUCAGGCUUGCCACAAUAUAUUUCUGCUGUCAGACCUUUCAUUUUUCCCUCUUGUAUAUAUAUUACAUGAAUGAUAUGACAGCUAUGAUUAAUUAAAAGAUAUAUUGCUCUUUUGCAUGUU